UGGUGGGGACACUGUUGGGACCGCCUCUGCUAAAGAGGAGGAAGGAAUGGGCAACGGUAGGUCAGCAUGCCCCGAAUUAUCUGGGCUACACGCGGGCUACAAUGGGUGGGACAAUGGGUAUCGACACCGAAAGGUGAAGGCAAUCUCCUAAACCCAUCCGUAGUUCGGAUUGUGGGCUGCAACUCGCCCACAUGAAGCUGGAAUCUGUAGUAAUCGUGUCUCAAAAUGGCACGGUGAAUAUGUCCCUGCUCCUU
rnacentral:rRNA from 1 species